rnacentral:rRNA from 1 species
CACACCGCCCGUCACACCAUGGGACGCGGGAUGUACCAGAGCAGCUAGCCUACGCAACGGAGGGCGGUUGCCACGGUGCGGUUUCGUGACUGGGGUG